CCCUAGCCCUGAUAGAAGUGGAAAUCCUUUUGUGGCGGGGUUCGCCACAAAAGAUUGGAACGGAUAGCAGGAAAUAGC
rnacentral:sRNA from 1 species